GACAGAGGGUGCAAACGUUGUUCGGAAUUACUGGGCGUAAAGCGAGUGUAGGCGGUUUGGUAAGUCGGAUGUGAAAGCCCCGGGCUCAACCCGGGAAGUGCACUCGAUACUGCCAAGCUAGAGUAUCGGAGAGGUUGGUGGAAUUCUCGGUGUAGAGGUGAAAUUCGUAGAUAUCGAGAGGAACACCGGUGGCGAAGGCGGCCAACUGGACGAAUACUGACGCUGAGACUCGAAAGCGUGGGGAGCAAACAGGAUUAGAAACCCCUGUAGUCC
rnacentral:rRNA from 1 species